CACUCGCGAGAAAGUUUCACACAGAGAGAGAGAAAAACCAAGAAAGUUUCAGAGAGAUGGAGGGCUUCACUUGCGGAACAGAAUCUUGGGUUUCUUCCAUCCGAAAAAACCCAGAUGAGCAAACCCAUCAAUCACUACAAACCUCUUCUUCUUCUGAAAUCAUGCUAGGAAUUGGAGAAGAAGAAUGGCCGAAGCUGAACAGCUUGAAGAGCAAGAAGAAGAAAAAGAACCAGGUUUUGCUUGAAGGGUAUGUAGAGGCAGCCGAUGAGGAUGAUUUGUCGAGGACCAAGAGCUUGACGGAUGAGGAUCUUGACGAGCUCAAAGGGUGUUUGGAUCUGGGAUUUGGGUUCAGCUACGAAGAGAUUCCUGAGCUCUGUAACACCUUGCCUGCUCUUGAGCUUUGUUAUUCUAUGAGCCAGAAAUUCAUGGACGAAAACCAGAAGUCGCCGGAGAAUUCUCCGACCACAGUUGAUUCGUGCCCUUCGGUUUCAAGUCCAAUUGCCAAUUGGAAGAUCUCUAGUCCUGGUGACCAUCCUGAGGAUGUGAAAGCAAGGCUCAAAUACUGGGCACAGGCUGUGGCAUGCACCGUUAGGUUAUGCAACUGAGAAAAAUUAGGACUUUUUGGAUUAAUGCUUUAGAUGAAAAUUAAAAAAUGGAUGGGCAAUUUCCUUGAUUUGAAACAUCAUCAAAUAUGAACAGGUUAGACCUUCAUCGGGAGCUUGCGCUUCACUGGUUUAUUCUGUAAUGGCUCCUGUCAGGAAUGAUUGUUCCUGCAAUUCUAGAACCUGUUGAUGAUGGAUUUACUCUGAGGAAGAGAAAGAGGAUGAUGAAGAAGAAUAUUUCAGCGGUGAGAGCCUCCAUUAGAGCUUCACCAAGUACUUCAUGACCUCUUAAUUUGCUGAGGUAACUAACCUAACUGAGUGAACAUUGUGUGUCUUUCUGGUGCUUCUAAUUAUGACCCUCUAAUGAAAGUUAUGGUUCUGUUAUGCAAACAAUGUUAACUGUGCUGACUAACUGUGUUUAUCUGUCCUAUGGAUAGAUUUUGUACCCAUUCGGCUGGAAUUGCAGACGCAAUUGAAAAGACAUAAUGAUUUAAACCCUAAUAGAUCUUGUACCUUAGCUGUUGGUUUUUAUGCAGCGGUAAGAGCCUCCAUUAGAGCUUCACCAAGUACUUCCUGACCUCUUAAUUUGCUGAGGUAACUAACCUAACUGAGUGAACAUUGUGUGAUUUUCUGGUGCUCCUAAUUAUGACCCUCUAAUGAAAGUUAUGGUUCUGGAAUGCGAACAAUGUUAAUUGUGCUGACUAACUGUGUUUAUCUGUCCUAUGGAUAGAUUUUGUACCUAUUCGGCUGGAAUUGCAGACGCAAUUGAAAAGACAUAAUGAUUUAAACCCUAAUAGAUCUUGUACCUUAGCUGUUGGUUUUUAUGCAGCAGUAAGAGCCUCCAUUAGAGCUUCACCAAGUACUUCCUGACCUCUUAAUUUGCUGAGGUAACUAACCUAACUGAGUGAACAUUGUGUGCUUUUCUGGUUCUCCUAAUUAUGACCCUCUAAUGAAAGUUAUGGUUCUGUGAUGCAAACAAUGUUAACUGUGCUGACUAACUGUGUAUCUGUCCUAUGGAUAGAUUUUGUACCCAUUUGUCUGGAAUUGCAGAUGCAAUUGAAAAGAGGGAGUGGAUUGGAUAACUAUUUGUUCUGGUUGUCCCUGAAAUUUCAUUCGUAAAUUCCUAACCACAUUUUCUCCAGUCUGUUUUCAUGAGCAACGGGUUUUCAUGGUUAUGUCAAGGACUGGAUCUUUCAAGUUAUGUUGUCUAUAGUUACUGAUACAUUCUUGCUGCUCUAUUUUUCUGCUAGCAUGGUGACAAUCUCCUUUUGUUAUAAAUUCUGCAACAGAGCUGUCGAAUGAUGACUUUAAUUUUGGAGACGUUUAUAGUCUGCCAUAUUAAUUAUUGAAUUGUAACCAGGAGUGUGGGUGGGAAGCUCUAAGAAGCACCAUCUUAGAAAGACUUUCAGAAUAUUUCUUUGCCCGUCAUUGAGGGCGCUGUCAGAAGGUUAGAUGAAGGAUUAAGUUCCUUUUGGGAUAAGAUGAAGGAUUUGCCUUAGUGUAUGGCUCAUAGGUUGAAGAGAA